GACGAACGCUGGCGGCGUGCUUAACACAUGCCAGUCGAACGGAAAGGCCCUGCUUUUGUGGGGUGCUCGAGUGGCGAACGGGUGAGUAACACGUGAGUAACCUGCCCUUGACUUUGGGAUAACUUCAGGAAACUGGGGCUAAUACCGGAUAGGAGCUCCGGCGGCAUGGUGGGGGUUGGAAAGUUUCGGCGGUUGGGGAUGGACUCGCGGCUUAUCAGCUUGUUGGUGGGGUAGUGGCUUACCAAGGCUUUGACGGGUAGCCGGCCUGAGAGGGUGACCGGCCACAUUGGGACUGAGAUACGGCCCAGACUCCUACGGGAGGCAGCAGUGGGGAAUAUUGCACAAUGGGCGGAAGCCUGAUGCAGCAACGCCGCGUGCGGGAUGACGGCCUUCGGGUUGUAAACCGCUUUCGCCUGUGACGAAGCGUGAGUGACGGUAAUGGGUAAAGAAGCACCGGCUAACUACGUG
rnacentral:rRNA from 1 species